rnacentral:lncRNA from 1 species
UUGAUUCUAACGGGAACGGGCAUGAUAAUCUCCUGGCAAAGAUGCUUUUCAAAGUACUGUUCUUGGCAGCUAUGGUGGUUCACUGUCUACUGUAGUUGGCUGUGGGAUAGGCACUGCAGACAGGGACUUUGAAAUGAGACCAGACAUUAGGUCUGGAUUCAAUAAAUACCAGAGGAAAAGAGGUCACUCUGUACAGCAACCAGCAGGAUAAUUGCAUCCUAAAGGACAAUAGAAUUUCUUGUCAUGUCCCAUGAGGGCAGUUUGGGUUGCAUUGAUCUGACUGGUUAUUGUUGGAUCACAUCCAACAGGUUGUCAGGAUUUAAUAGUCCAUCACGCUCCAUACACACAAAUAAGAAAAGCAAGCUGAGAGAGAAAACUUCUGAGAGGAAGAGCACUUGAGACUGAGAGCCUCAAGGAAUGUUAACAAUAUACAUCCAGAAAGGAAAUCAGGACACAGGAAGGCCCUGCAGUGGGAGACCUCUGUCACAUUUCAAAAACUAAGUGGUAUUCAGAUUGAUUGGACAAUAUGGUGUAUGUUUUUAGGGAAAAGAAUUAAAAUAUGAGAUUUUGGGCAUAGGCUGUGGCAAGUCAUGUUUCUAGAAGUAUACAAAGAAACUUGGGAUCUCUCCAGAAGGCAGCAAGAUUUUAAAGGCGCUAGUUGAAGGGUAGAGGUCGUCAGGUCAGCAGUUUAGUGGGUGAAUUCUGACUGAUUGGUUGUGAAUAAGAACGGAUGUAGAAAUAUCUGUUAGGAGGCUGUAUCAGUAGCCCCAGGAAGAAUUAAGGGGGGGGGAGAGCGUGACUAUUGUAGUAAAAACAUAAAUAGAGGAAAAAAAUUAGAGAUUUUAGAUGCAAUGAUAUGAAUAGAAGCAUGAGGCCCAGAUGAUAACUGGAUUGUUUUCUUAUGAGUUUGGAUUAUAUAAAAGUGGCAGAAUGUAGAAAAAAAGCCAAAUUUUUCAUAUGAAAAUUUCAAGUUAUUUAAAAAUACUGUCACCGAUUUUAGAGCUUACCCAAAAACAUUUAUAGAAGUGCUAGCCCUGAGAUACUAAAGAGCUUUUGUUUGCAUGUGCCUAUAUGUGAGUGUUGGGGGGAGUGUAAUUUGACAAAAUAGGAGAGAAUGAAGAAUGACAAACAUCUUUGUGAAGGGAUGUGGGAAGCACACAUUUGGGUUCCAGAGAUAAUGAGCACUGGGUGGGGGUCUACUUGGAAGUCUGGGUUUCUGCCUGUGCUGGGGUGAAGAAUGUUGUAGGAAAUGAAAUUGCAAAUGCAUAGAAAAAAUAUAAUUGUGGCAUAGAUGCAAUUCAUACCCACUUCUCAAUGACAUUUGGGUACAACUGUAUUUUUCAAGUUUCCUACAAUAAGCAGAUAUCAUAAGACCCUUGACAUUUACAAGGGAUAAAUC